rnacentral:rRNA from 1 species
CCUACGGGUGGCUGCAGUGGGGAAUAUUGGACAAUGGGCGAAAGCCUGAUCCAGCCAUGCCGCGUGUGUGAAGAAGGCCUUCGGGUUGUAAAGCACUUUCAGUGGGGAAGAAAGCCUUGGGGCUAAUACCCUCGAGGAAGGACAUCACCCACAGAAGAAGCACCGGCUAACUCCGUGCCAGCAGCCGCGGUAAUACGGAGGGUGCGAGCGUUAAUCGGAAUUACUGGGCGUAAAGCGCGCGUAGGCGGUCUGAUAAGCCGGUUGUGAAAGCCCCGGGCUCAACCUGGGAACGGCAUCCGGAACUGUCAGGCUAGAGUGCAGGAGAGGAAGGUAGAAUUCCCGGUGUAGCGGUGAAAUGCGUAGAGAUCGGGAGGAAUACCAGUGGCGAAGGCAGCCUUCUGGACUGACACUGACGCUGAGGUGCGAAAGCGUGGGUAGCAAACAGGAUUAGAUACCCUAGUAGUC